CAAUGUUAAUCAUCCGUCUUUCCCGUUCACAUCAAUCUCACCUGACAAAGAGUUCAGCACAAAAACCAUGUCUAUGAUGGGAUAUAUUUGGUGCAAGGAGCGGAGAAAAUAUAAGUUUGUUAGAAGAGGAUACGUUCCUCCAAGGGCUGACAGUGAUGAAAGCGAAGAACAAGACGAUGAAGUGGAAAAUGAAGAAGAAGAAGAAGAAGA
rnacentral:lncRNA from 1 species